UUCAAUGGCUUUGUGGCUUGACACUCAAUUGUCAAUUUGUUGUUUCGUUAUUUCCUUAAAAGUCCUCUGAAAAGUUAUUUUUAUAGGGUUUUGAUGUUAGGCCAAGUUAGGUGAAGAAAGAAGUCAAUUCCAAUCAAGCGUUCCUCAUCAAACUACGUGGGCCGCGACUUGGACCAUUUAAAUAGCAAAAAUCGUAAUUAGUCUAGGACUACUAUAGUACAUCAACUUAAAAAAGAUUUUUGACCAUCUUCAAGGCCGAACUGGGAAAAGUAGUAAACAUGAAAGUUGUAGCUUUAUCUCUUAUCUUUCCAAUGGUCUAAGAAUCACUUAUUUCGAGCUUUGUAAAGUUAUGACCGAAGUACCCAAAUAUGUGCAGUGGAAGUUUGCACCUUGAAAUUGCUCUCCUUCUUCCACUAAAAUUCUUUCUUCAUUAAACCUACAAAAGCACAAACACAUCAAUAACAACCUAUCUUAACGACAUUAACACCAAAUUAUUUAUAAAAUUAACUAAGAUUAUAUUGAUACACCUAAAAUAACUAAUUUAAAAUAAUUAAAU
rnacentral:lncRNA from 1 species